AGUUGAAAAAGAAGAGAUUGCCGAACAUUUCUUAUGAGGAAGGAUUUGUACUUUCUUUUUCGACAAAAGAUGAGGUUCAUAUAGUUUAAAGCGUAUAUGUAGGAUUGGGACAAUUUUAAUGAGCAAGCAACCAUCCUUAGGCUUAAUAAAUUACCUUUCUACGUAAAUUGUAGCCCAUAUCCUCAAAGUUACGAGCUUAGCAAGUCAAACUAACAAUCAACCAACGUUGUUUUCCCACUGUACCUUAUUUAGCAUUCUUCCUAGGUAUGUGAAGUACUUGAAAA